rnacentral:misc_RNA from 1 species
AAGUCGUAACAAGGUUUCCGUAGGUGAACCUGCGGAAGGAUCAUCAUCGAAUUCAUAUCCCCCUCCUCUCCCGGAGGUGGACCCAUGAUAAACCCUUCUGUGCACCGUAGACCGUUCACUUUGGCAGGCUUUGGUGGUGAGCGUGAGCUCGCCUCCAACCUCGCGUUCCGUCCUCCCUAAAGGGGUGUUACGCGUGGCGGCCUGCCGAAGUCCUCCCAUUAAAAAACACGUUUUCGAACACGUCUGAAAAUUUCCUUUGAGAAAUCAAAGAAUCGAAAACAACUUUCAACAACGGAUCUCUUAGCUCUC